AAAGAAAACACCUUAACUAUUGCCUGUUUGUAAACCCUCAUUAAUUAAAUAAAAUAGUCACGGUGGCAUUGAAAAAGAAAGAAUACAUUUAUCCUUUCCUUUUACAAGAAAGAGACAUUGACCCGCAUCAAACUAAAUAGUAAACAAUAUAGGAUAUUACGUAAAAAGAACAGGCACUUCAAAGUAUCCUUAUUAAGGACCCAUAGUUAUGUCAGAAACCAGCGAAAUCUGAAGACGUGUUGCAUUGAGUCAUGGGGGUGCGAGACAUCUGGAAGAACUACAAGGUACUGAUAGUAAUGGUUCCGAGCCUCGGCCUUGUCCACUGGGGAUGGUACAGUCUGAAAGGGAAUCCACUUCUACAUCAGAACCGGGAGCUGGAAGUCCCCGAGCCGGCAGUCGUACGGUCCGUCUCUUCUAGAACCGCCAGUAGCUGAACACCCGACAGAAACGUGUCGCUUGGUGGGGGAGGGUUUUGAGCGAGGAGAACGGGAGAGGGGGAGAUGAAGCCCCAAAGCUGGCUGCGGAGGAACUGGAUGUGGGCGGCGGGGGGGGCGUUCGUGGGGGUCCACCUUGUCACAUGGCUCCUACAGAAAUCCAUGAAGCACGCUGUGCGCUCUGAGACGGCCCUGAAGAACAAGAGCACUCAGGACUGACCAGAACCAGGUAUACAGAGGUCUGACGCCACUCUGCAGGACACAACUAGGUCUACAGAGACCUAACCUCGCAGAACCCUGCAGGACAGAAACUGGUCUACAGAGUCCUUACCCCGCACAGAACUCUCCAGGACAAAAACAAGGAUGCGAUCAUACUAUGGCGUCGGUAAAGAGUAUGAACUUGGUUUCAUGAAGUAAAUCUGCUGUCCUCCUGUCUGAAUAAUAAGAAUAAAUUAAUACAUGUCUGUGUUGAACUAUU